rnacentral:rRNA from 1 species
GCGAGGCCGAAAGGCGUAGUCGAUGGGAAAAUGGUUAAUAUUCCAUUACUUCUGUGUAAUGCGAUGAGAGGACGGAGAAGGCUAAAUCAGCCUGGCGUUGGUUGUCCAGGUGAAAGGAUGUAGGCAUGUAUCUUAGGCAAAUCCGGGGUACUCUAUGCUGAGAUCUGAUAGCAAGCUGUACUUGUACAGCGAAGUGGUUGAUGCCAUGCUUCCAGGAAAAGUCUCUAAGCUUCAGUUACACAGGAAUCGUACCCGAAACCGACACAGGUGGUCAGGUCGAGUAGACCAAGGCGCUUGAGAGAACUCUGCUGAAGGAACUAGGCAAAAUGGUACCGUAACUUCGGGAGAAGGUACGCUGUUGUUGGUGAUGGAACUCGCUUCCUGAGCUGACGACAGCCGCAGAAACCAGGCCGCUGCAACUGUUUAUUAAAAACAUAGCACUCUGCAAACACGAAAGUGGACGUAUAGGGUGUGAUGCCUGCCCGGUGCUGGAAGGUUAAUUGAUGGGGUUAGCGUAAGCGAAGCUCUUGAUCGAAGCCCCAGUAAACGGCGGCCGUAACUAUAACGGUCCUAAGGUAGCGAAAUUCCUUGUCGGGUAAGUUCCGACCUGCACGAAUGGCAUAAUGAUGGCGGCGCUGUCUCCAGCAGAGGCUCAGUGAAAUCGAAAUCGCUGUGAAGAUGCAGUGUACCCGCGGCUAGACGGAAAGACCCCGUGAACCUUUACUGCAGCUUGACACUGAACUUUGACCUUACUUGUGUAGGAUAGGUGGGAGGCUUUGAAGCUGGAACGCUAGUUCCAGUGGAGCCGUCCUUGAAAUACCACCCUGGUAAUGUUGAGGUUCUAACUCUGUCCCGUGAUCCG